rnacentral:rRNA from 1 species
ACGGGUGCGUAACACGUGGGCAAUCUGCCCUCCGAUGGGGAAUAACUCCGGGAAACCGAGGCUAAUUCCGCAUAACAUUCCCUGGACUCCGGUUCGGGGAUUCAAAGCAGCAAUGCGUCGGAGGAGGAGCCCGCGCCCGAUUAGCUAGUUGGUAGGGUAACGGCCUACCAAGGCAAUGAUCGGUAGCUGGUCUGAGAGGAUGGCCAGCCACACUGGAACUGAGACACGGUCCAGACUCCUACGGGAGGCAGCAGUGGGGAAUCUUGCGCAAUGGGCGAAAGCCUGACGCAGCGACGCCGCGUGGGGGAUGAAGCUUCUCGGAGUGUAAACCCCUUUCGACUGGGACGAAUGCCUCGCAAGAGGAGUGACGGUACCAGUAGAAGAAGCCCCGGCUAACUACGUGCCAGCAGCCGCGGUAAGACGUAGGGGGCCAGCGUUGUUCGGAAUUACUGGGUGUAAAGGGUUCGUAGGCGGUGUGGCAAGUCGGGAGUGAAAUCUAUGGGCUUAACUCAUAGUCUGCUUCCGAAACUGCUGUGCUGGAGUGUGGGAGAGGCGCGUGGAAUUGCAGGUGUAGCGGUGAAA